rnacentral:rRNA from 1 species
CGUGUAGGCGGCUUGCAAAGUCGGGCGUGAAAGCCCCGGGCUCAACCCGGGAAUUGCGUUCGAUACUGGCGAGCUAGAGUUCGGGAGAGGGUCGUGGAAUUCCCAGUGUAGAGGUGAAAUUCGUAGAUAUUGGGAAGAACACCAGUGGCGAAGGCGGCGACCUGGACCGAUACUGACGCUAAGGCGCGAAAGCGUGGGGAGCAAACAGGAUUAGAUACCCUGGUAGUCCACGCUGUAAACGAUGAGUGCUAGACGUUGGGGGACCUAGUUUCCCAGUGUCGCAGCUAACGCAUUAAGCACUCCGCCUGGGGAGUACGGCCGCAAGGUUAAA